AACGCUAGCUACAGGCUUAACACAUGCAAGUCGAGGGGCAGCAUAAAACUAGCUUGCUAGUUUUGAUGGCGACCGGCGCACGGGUGAGUAACGCGUAUCCGACCUGCCCAUGACUCGGGCACAGCCGCUCGAAAGAGCGAUUGAUUCCCGAUAUGUCGUUAGAGUAGAUUUAAUGAUGAAAGAUUCAUCGGUCAUGGAUGGGGAUGCGUAGGAUUAGGUAGUAGGCGGGGUAACGGCCCACCUAGCCGACGAUCCUUAGGGGUUCUGAGAGGAAGGUCCCCCACACUGGUACUGAGACACGGACCAGACUCCUACGGGAGGCAGCAGUGAGGAAUAUUGGUCAAUGGGCGGAAGCCUGAACCAGCCAAGUAGCGUGAAGGAUUACUGCCCUACGGGUUUUAAACUUCUUUUAUGCGAGAGUAAUGUGCACUACGUGUAGUGUAUUGCAAGUAUCGCAUGAAUAAGCAUCGGCUAACUCCGUGCCAGCAGCCGCGGUAAUACGGAGGAUGCGAGCGUUAUCCGGAUUUAUUGGGUUUAAAGGGAGCGUAGGCGGGUCAUUAAGUCAGUCGUCAAAGCCUGUGGCUCAACCACAGCCCGCGAUUGAUACUGGUGACCUUGAGUGCGGAUGAGGUGGAUGGAAUUCGUGGUGUAGCGGUGAAAUGCUUAGAUAUCACGAAGAACUCCGAUUGCGAAGGCAGUCCACUGGGCCGCAACUGACGCUGAAGCUCGAAAGUGCGGGUAUCAAACAGGAUUAGAUACCCUGGUAGUCCGCACCGUAAACGAUGGAUACUCGCUGUCGGCGAUACACAGUCGGCGGCCAAGCGAAAGCAUUAAGUAUCCCACCUGGGGAGUACGCCGGCAACGGUGAAACUCAAAGGAAUUGACGGGGGCCCGCACAAGCGGAGGAACAUGUGGUUUAAUUCGAUGAUACGCGAGGAACCUUACCCGGGCUUGAACUGCGGUGGACCGGUCCAGAGAUGGGCUUUCCCUUCGGGGCCGCCGUGGAGGUGCUGCAUGGUUGUCGUCAGCUCGUGCCGUGAGGUGUCGGCUUAAGUGC
rnacentral:rRNA from 1 species